rnacentral:rRNA from 1 species
GACGAACGCUGGCGGCGUGCCUAAUACAUGCAAGUUGAGCGAUGAAGAUUGGUGCUUGCACCAAUUUGAAGAGCAGCGAACGGGUGAGUAACGCGUGGGGAAUCUGCCUUUAAGCGGGGGACAACAUUUGGAAACGAAUGCUAAUACCGCAUAACAACUUUAAACAUAAGUUUUAAGUUUGAAAGAUGCAAUUGCAUCACUCAAAGAUGAUCCCGCGUUGUAUUAGCUAGUUGGUGAGGUAAAGGCUCACCAAGGCGAUGAUACAUAGCCGACCUGAGAGGGUGAUCGGCCACAUUGGGACUGGGACACGGCCCAAACUCCUACGGGAGGCAGCAGUAGGGAAUCUUCGGCAAUGGACGAAAGUCUGACCGAGCAACGCCGCGUGAGUGAAGAAGGGUUUCGGAUCGUAAAACUCUGUUGGUAGAGAAGAACGUUGGUGGGAGUGGAAAGCUCAUCAAGUGACGGUAACUACCCAGAAAGGGACGGCUAACUACGUG